rnacentral:rRNA from 1 species
AACGAACGCUGGCGGCAUGCCUAACACAUGCAAGUCGAACGAGACCUUCGGGUCUAGUGGCGCACGGGUGCGUAACGCGUGGGAAUCUGCCCUUGGGUUCGGGAUAACAGUUGGAAACGACUGCUAAUACCGGAUGAUGACUUCGGUCCAAAGAUUUAUCGCCCAGGGAUGAGCCCGCGUCGGAUUAGCUAGUUGGUGAGGUAAGAGCUCACCAAGGCGACGAUCCGUAGCUGGUCUGAGAGGAUGAUCAGCCACACUGGGACUGAGACACGGCCCAGACUCCUACGGGAGGCAGCAGUGGGGAAUAUUGGACAAUGAGCGAAAGCCUGAUCCAGCAAUGCCGCGUGAGUGAUGAAGGCCUUAGGGUUGUAAAGCUCUUUUACCCGGGAUGAUAAUGACAGUACCGGGAGAAUAAGCCCCGGCUAACUCCGUG